AAAAGUCCAACUUCUACUAAGACCGCCCACGUCCUGUGGGCAGCGUAGAAGUCCUUUUCAUCCUUCUUUUUGAACA
rnacentral:sRNA from 1 species